CCUACGGGAGGCAGCAGUGGGGAAUAUUGCACAAUGGGGGAAACCCUGAUGCAGCGACGCCGCGUGAGUGAAGAAGCAUUUCGGUAUGUAAAGCUCUAUCAGCAGGGAAGAAAUAGCGACCUUUGGGUCGCCAGACGGUACCUGACUAAGAAGCCCCGGCUAACGACGUGCCAGCAGCCGCGGUAAUACGUAGGGGGAAAGCGUUAUCCGGAUUUACUGGGUGUAAGGGGAGCGUAGACGGCAGCACAAGUCUGAAGUGAAAUGCCGGGGCUUAACCCCGGAACUGCUUUGGAAACUGUGCAGCUAGAGUGCAGGAGAGGUAAGUGGAAUUCCUAGUGUAGCGGUGAAAUGCGUAGAUAUUAGGAGGAACACCAGUGGCGAAGGCGGCUUACUGGACUGUAACUGACGUUGAGGCUCGAAAGCGUGGGGAGCAAACAGGAUUAGAUACCCUGGUAGUC
rnacentral:rRNA from 1 species